ACUCCUACGGGAGGCAGCAGUGGGGAAUAUUGCACAAUGGGCGCAAGCCUGAUGCAGCAACGCCGCGUGAGGGACGACGGCCUUCGGGUUGUAAACCUCUUUUAGUAGGGAAGAAGCGAAAGUGACGGUACCUGCAGAAAAAGCACCGGCUAACUACGUGCCAGCAGCCGCGGUAAUACGUAGGGUGCAAGCGUUAUCCGGAAUUAUUGGGCGUAAAGAGCUCGUAGGCGGUUUGUCGCGUCUGCUGUGAAAACUGGGGGCUCAACCCCCAGCCUGCAGUGGGUACGGGCAGACUAGAGUGCGGUAGGGGAGAUUGGAAUUCCUGGUGUAGCGGUGGAAUGCGCAGAUAUCAGGAGGAACACCGAUGGCGAAGGCAGAUCUCUGGGCCGUAACUGACGCUGAGGAGCGAAAGCAUGGGGAGCGAACAGGAUUAGAUACCCUGGUAGUCCAUGCCGUAAACGUUGGGAACUAGAUGUAGGGUCCAUUCCACGGAUUCUGUGUCGCAGCUAACGCAUUAAGUUCCCCGCCUGGGGAGUACGGCCGCAAGGCUAAAACUCAAAGGAAUUGACGGGGGCCCGCACAAGCGGCGGAGCAUGCGGAUUAAUUCGAUGCAACGCGAAGAAUCUUACCAAGGCUUGACAUAUACCGGAAAAGGCUGGAAACAGUCUCCCCGCAAGGUCGGUAUACAGGUGGUGCAUGGUUGUCGUCAGCUCGUGUCGUGAGAUGUUGGGUUAAGUCCCGCAACGAGCGCAACCCUCGUUCUAUGUUGCCAGCACGUAAUGGUGGGAACUCAUAGGAGACUGCCGGGGUCAACUCGGA
rnacentral:rRNA from 1 species